CUUCCUGCCUCCCUCUCUUCUCAGGAUUAGCUCAUCGCUGGCUCCCCACAGAGCCGGGGUGUGCUAGGAUACAGCUGCUGGAGAUCUGCUUUCCAGGCCUGUCCGGAGGAGAGAGGGUCGGGGGAUGAGGGCAUCAGCUCACAGCAGGGCUGCCGAGGGGCUGGGACCCCAACAGAUCAUACAGAACCCUCUCAAGAGGGGACUACUUGUCUUACCUGGAUCCUCACCGCUCCAGUCCAGAACCCCAGCCGGGACUCCACACUCAGGAUUGGACCACAUGAUGGGGACGGGGGUCUGUGACGCGAUGGGGGAAGGAAAGGCUGCUGGAGGCGCCUCAGUCACAUGAUGUG
rnacentral:lncRNA from 1 species